rnacentral:lncRNA from 1 species
AACAUUUUUAUUUACUUCAUCAAUCUUUUAUCUGUGUCUUGUUUAAUUAUUGUGUAGUUUUGCCUGUUAAGCGUUUGAUUAUUAGAUAGAUUUGUUUAGUACUUUAUUUGUUUGUAUAACUUAGUUUUCAUUAGUUUAUUGCCAUAGUUCGUUAUCUUAGAAUUAGUUAGUUUUUAAGGCCUAGUAGAGUUUUAUAGUAGAAUUUAGUUAUAAUGGAUAGCAAUUGCUACAUUUGCGGACGUUCGGUAGAGGAAGUGGUUAAAUUAUUUUCUUUUCCAUUAAAUAUCAAUAAGUAAAUUUAUAAAUUUAAGUUAGAUAGAUUUUUUGUACUAAAUGAAAAUUUACUUUGAUACUUUAGACAGCGAUUAUGGAAUGAGUGUCUUGGUGUACCAGCAGAAAACACGUACUCUAGACGUAUGAGAAUUUGCAACAAUCACUUUACAAUGGAAAGCUUUAUGUUGAAUAGGACCCCCUUGACCUUAAAAAGAGAUGCAAAGCCUUUAAGAGUGAUCAUGAAUGUAAAUUCCAAUUUCUUACUUCUAAUUGCUUCUAUUUACUUUUAGAAUGAAAUUUACAGUUCUAAUUACAUUUUCUUUAUUCAGGAAGCACACAUUGUAACGAGUGAACCGCUUAGACAGCCUGAACUGGAGCAAAAUAAUUUAACGGAUUCUGUCAUAGAGUUAAAUAUAACAAAAGACGCUGCCAUACCUUCCUCCGCUACAAAUCCAACAACAGAGUCAGUAUUUAAGAAGAGCCAGUUUAGUGCAACAAUCAAAGAAAAAUCACUGCGACGAAUUUUAAAGAAAAACAGAUCCGGAGACUUAAAAAGAAUUAUGAAAAUAAAACUACAUUACUGAGAGAUAUGUUAAGCACACCAGAAUCUUUUACUCAGGUUUUUAAAGGUAAUAGUAUUUACUUUCCAAUUAUUUAAUCACGAAUUGAGGCAACAUGUUUAAGUCUUAGUUGUGAUCAUAGUUAAAGUAAUGUAAUCGUGAUUAAUAAUAAUAAUAACAAUAAGAUAAAUGACGAACUAAGAACUUAAAAUUAUGACUAAGACUAAUACAUGUUACAUGAAUCUAACAUAAUACAAGCUGAGUUAAGUAAAUGUGUUGUCAAAUUUUAAACACAACACAUUUAAACAAAAUGCAAGCAACUUUUCCACUGUAAUUGUUUGUACAGAUAAGAAAAUUUCCUUCAGAAUGCAGGUCAGGACGCUUCAGCUUUCAGACAUUGCUGUUUACUUAAAUAAAUAGUUUGUUAUUUUUUAUCAGUUGUCUUUUAUAACUUAUCAUGUUUAAUAAAAUUGCUUUGUUUUAAUUCUUGUCUUGGUCGCUUUGUUACUUUAUUCUACUUGCUGAAAUAUUGUUCCUUUUCGCUUUGUUUUAAUUCUCGUCUUGGUCGCUAUGUUAUACAUCAUUUAUUCUGUUCGCUGAAAUAUUGUUCUAAUUGAUACGAACAGAAACAAAUAAAAAGAAAUAUUACAGUUUAUAUCAAUUCUAUGUUAUAAUUUAUUCUGCUCGCUGAAAUAUUGUUCUAAUUGAUACGAACAGAAACAAAUAAAAAGAAAUAUUACAGUUAUAUAUUCCAUACAGUUAUAUAAAUAACAUUUUAUCAUUAAUUCUGUCUACUGCUCGUUUUUGCUGUAAUACUUUUAAUUUUAGUCGCUUUGUAGAAUUUUUUUAUUCUGGCUGUCUUAAAUCUGUUGUUUGCAAUUGUAAUUUGUAUUCCUAAAUUUGUCUAGAAAUUUAUUUGACUUAUGGUAUGCUAGAGUUUUUCAUGGGUUUUCCUCUAGCCUUGAAGAAAAUGCUUUACCAUUGUACAAAAACGCCCCCAUGAGCAUGAAAACGAUUAAAUGUAAAUAUUUGUCUAUAAAUAUACAUAGAUUUGUUCUUCUGAA